rnacentral:rRNA from 1 species
AGCUCCAAUAGCGUAUAUUAAAGUUGUUGCAGUUAAAAAGCUCGUAGUUGGAUUUCUGGUUGAAGCGCCCGGUCCGCUCCGCAAGGAGUGUGCACUGCAGGCGUCUUUUGCCAUCCUUGGGGAAAACUGUUACACCCUUAACUGAGUGUGGCAGGGAUCCCCAUCGUUUACUGUGAGAAAAUUAGAGUGUUCAACGCAGGCUUACGCCUUGAAUAUAUUAGCAUGGAAUAAUGAGAUAGGACCUUGGUUCUAUUUUGUUGGUUUGCGGGCCAAGGUAAUGAUUAAUAGGGAUAGUUGGGGGUAUUCGUAUUCAAUUGUCAGAGGUGAAAUUCUUGGAUUUAUGGAAGACGAACUACUGCGAAAGCAUUUACCAAGGAUGUUUUCA